rnacentral:rRNA from 1 species
AUACGUAGGUGACAAGCGUUAUCCGGAUUUACUGGGCGUAAAGGGCGUGUAGGCGGUCUUGCAAGUCAGAUGUGAAAUACCGGGGCUUAACCCCGGAGCUGCAUUUGAAACUGUGGUUCUUGAGUGAAGUAGAGGCAAGAGGAAUUCCUAGUGUAGCGGUAAAAUGCGGAGAUAUUUGGAGGAACACCGGUGGCGAAGGCGGCUUUCUGGACAGUAACUGACGCUGAGGCGCGAAAGCGUGGGGAGCAAACAGGAUUAGAUACCCUGGUGGUCCACGCCGUAAACGAUGAAUACUAGGUGUAGGGGGUAUCGACUCCCUCUGUGCCGCAGUUAACACAAUAAGUAUUCCGCCUGGGGAGUACGGCCGCAAGGUUGAAACUCAAAUGAAUUGACGGG